rfam:Oryza glumipatula chromosome 11, whole genome shotgun sequence.
AAUAAGUGUAAUCGUAAGUUUACGCGUACAACUUUAAUCGUCCGUCUUAUUUAAAAUUUUUUAUGAUGAGUAAGUAUUUUUUAUAUUAAAUUAUGAAACAUAAAUAGAACUUUAUGCGUGAUUUAUGUUUUUUAGAUUUUUUUAAAAAAUUAAAUAAGAUGGACGAUUAAAGUUGUGCACAGAAACUUAUGGCUGCGUUUAUU